rnacentral:lncRNA from 1 species
CGCAUGCGGACAGCCCACCCCAAGGGAAGAAAGGGAAGGAUCGUGGGGAGAAGCAACGCAAGACCCCGGAAGCAUGCCAACGUGUAAAACCCCAAGUCAAAGGUCAAACAGUGCACUCGAUCUCUCAAGUCACCUGCUUGGCCCUCUACUAAAAAGGGAGAUGCCAUGUGCUGGCCCAGCACUCCAACAGGGGCCUGACCUCUAGGAACGGGACACUGGAGGAAGCCUAGACAUUUGAACAAAUCAAGUCAUCCAGAUCCACGGUCAGC